GCCUGCCUAGCUCAAUCGGAUAGAGCGUCAGACUCUUAUAUAGGCACGUCAUCUGAAGGCUGCGAGUUCGACCCUCGCGGUGGGCU
rfam:Hypholoma sublateritium FD-334 SS-4 unplaced genomic scaffold scaffold_41, whole genome shotgun sequence.